CGGCGUGUAGCUCAGUUAGGUAAGAGCGCCCGGUUGAAACCCGGGAGGUUCGUAGGUUCGAUCCCUACCGCGUCGG
rnacentral:tRNA from 1 species